UACGGAGGAUGCAAGUGUUAUCCGGAAUGAUUGGGCGUAAAGCGUCCGCAGGUGGCAAUGUAAGUCUGCUGUCAAAGCGUCUGGCUCAACCAGAUAAAGGCAGUGGAAACUACAUAGCUAGAGUAAGGUAGGGGUAGAGGGAAUUCCUGGUGUAGCGGUGAAAUGCGUAGAGAUCAGGAAGAACACCGGUGGCGAAAGCGCCCUGCUGGACCUUAACUGACACUGAGGGACGAAAGCUAGGGGAGCGAAUGGG
rnacentral:rRNA from 1 species